GUGAUGAAGAUCAAUGAAUCAGAAAAUGUUUUGCAUUGGUGGUGAAUGUUCUGACAGUUUGAAUAGUUGUGAUGUGGUGUAUUUCACUUCCACACAUCAUGUAGAAGUUGGUGACCUGAAACAAUGAACAUGGAAAAAUCACCUGUGCCCACGCUGACGAUGAUACCUGUACUGAAGUGCUGGAAACUAAAAUUAAUUUUCUUUACAAUUUGGUUUCAGGCCAUCUUUAUAAUUUUUUAAUAGUUUUGCGUUUAUUGAUGAGUCUGCAAGCUCUUAGGUGAUCUACUCCUUUAUAUACCACCUGUCGACGAUUUGACAGCCUCACACAAUUAAAGAAUUCCAGGCCAAAGUGAGCUCUUCCGAGCAGAAAAGUGGCGGCGUAUCCAUUUAAUUGAAAAUAGGCACAAGAUAACGCACAAUUGGCGUCCUUGUCUCAAUGGGGAAAUUUUUCCGUGGAUCUUAUGACCGAAAUGCCAUUGUAGCUGUUCAAAAAAAGAAAAUUGUAUUAUCAUACAGAUGUUGACUAGCUAACAAUCCAGAGAUAGGUCAACUUGCGAAAUUUCUAGAUGUGUGUGAAGCGCAAUCAGCAUCCUUGUUGAACUGUGAACCCAAAUCAUGUAUUUUCCUAGAAAUGUCUAGGUUUUUGGAUAAAUAAA